rnacentral:lncRNA from 1 species
CAAGGCAAUGGUAAUGAGCACGCUGUCUUUCAAAAGAAGAAAUCAUUCAAAAUAUUUCUUUAUCAGAGUCGCAAACACAAUCAUGUCCUCUGGUACAGUAAAACCACUUUAAAGAUAUAUUCCAGCACCCUGCUCCAUUCCAUCCCAUUUCCCGUAUAUAUUCUCUAUCAGUGCACAUCACACUGUAUAUACAUAUUUCAGCACCCUGCUCCAUUCCAUCCCAUUUCCUGCAUCUAUUCUCUAUCAGUGCACAUCACACUAUAUACAUAUAUAUAUAUAUAUAUAUAUAUAUAUAUAUAUAUAUAUAUAUAUUCCAGCACCCUGCUCCAUUCCAUCCCAUUUCCUGCAUAUAUUCUCUAUCAGUGCACAUCACACUGUAUAUAUAUAUUCCAGCACCCUGCUCCAUUCCAUCCCAUUUCCCGUAUAUAUUCUCUAUCAGUGCACAUCACACUGUAUAUACAUAUUCCAGCACCCUGCUCCAUUCCAUCCCAUUUCCUGCAUCUAUUCUCUAUCAGUGCACAUCACACUGUAUAUACAUAUUCCAGCACCCUGCUCCAUUCCAUCCCAUUUCCUGCAUCUAUUCUCUAUCAGUGCACAUCACACUAUGUAUAUAUAUUCCAGCACCCUGCUCCAUUCCAUCCCAUUUCCUGCAUAUAUUCUCUAUCAGUGCACAUCACACUAUAUAUAUAUAUAUAUAUAUAUAUAUAUAUAUUCCAGCACCCUGCUCCAUUCCAUCCCAUUUCCCGUAUAUAUUCUCUAUCAGUGCACAUCACACUGUAUAUACAUAUUCCAGCACCCUGCUCCAUUCCAUCCCAUUUCCUGCAUCUAUUCUCUAUCAGUGCACAUCACACUAUGUAUAUAUAUUCCAGCACCCUGCUCCAUUCCAUCCCAUUUCCUGCAUCUAUUCUCUAUCAGUGCACAUCACACUAUAUAUAUAUAUAUAUAUAUAUAUAUAUAUAUAUAUAUAUUCCAGCACCCUGCUCCAUUCCAUCCCAUUUCCCGUAUAUAUUCUCUAUCAGUGCUCAUCACACUGUAUAUACAUAUUCCAGCACCCUGCUCCAUUCCAUCCCAUUUCCUGCAUCUAUUCUCUAUCAGUGCACAUCACACUUUAUGUUUACUCAUGAGAUCUAA